UACGUAGGUGGCAAGCGUUGUUCGGAAUUAUUGGGCGUAAAGAGCUCGUAGGCGGUUUGUCGCGUCUGCUGUGAAAACCCGAGGCUCAACCUCGGGCCUGCAGUGGGUACGGGCAGACUAGAGUGUGGUAGGGGAGACUGGAAUUCCUGGUGUAGCGGUGGAAUGCGCAGAUAUCAGGAGGAACACCCAAUGGCGAAGGCAGGUCUCUGGGCCA
rnacentral:rRNA from 1 species